AUGGCUGUCGUCAGCUCGUGCCGUGAGGUGUUGGGUUAAGUCCCGCAACGAGCGCAACCCCUAUUGUUAGUUACCAGCGAGUCAUGUCGGGAACUCUAACGAAACUGCCCGUGCAAACGGUGAGGAAGGUGGGGACGACGUCAAGUCAUCACGGCCCUUACGUCCAGGGCUACACACGUGCUACAAUGGUCGGUACAACGGGCAGCUACACCGCGAGGUGAUGCUAAUCUCUAAAAACCGAUCUCAGUUCGGAUUGAAGUCUGCAACUCGACUUCAUGAAGCUGGAUUCGCUAGUAAUCGCGCAUCAGCAAUGGCGCGGUGAAUACGUUCCCGGGCCUUGUACACACCGCCCGU
rnacentral:rRNA from 1 species